GCGUCCUUCGGGCAGAGCGGGAUUCAUAAUGUCCACAUAGCCAUUAGUUUAGACUUAAGUUUAUUGGUUCAAGUGUGGAUUAAGAACUGAAUGGACGUUUUAAAAUGUUUAUGGUUAUAAAUGUUUAUUGCUGGGAUCAAAAUGAGAACACUUAUAUUAACACUUUAAUAUCCUAAAAUAAGAAAAAAACAAAACAUCCCUACAUUAACCAUAGGUAUCCACAUAUACUCAGGAUUAUUUCGCCUUAUAGACAACUAUCUCCACUUUUACGUCUCCCUGGACCGGGACCUGACCCAGAGUCCCGGGCCGAGGUUCAGGGAACGCUACGGAGCCGGGGGCGUUCAGCUGGACAAAGUGGGCGAGGACACGUACAAGCUGAACAUAGCCAAAGUAAAACUGUUGGACCAGGGAGUGGUCUACUGCCAGGCUGUGGAGUGGAUCGAGGGCCCCGACGGACACAGGAACCCAAUCUCCUCGAAGCUCUCAGAGAAAACCCCUGUGAAGGUCAAAGCUAAAGGCAACGAGAGGGCAUCCUCAGGCUCUGGACCUUCUCCAGGGGUCCGUCCAGGCAUCCUCACAUAUCUGAUCGCGUUGGUCCUACUGGCGUUGGUCUGGUGAUGACGAUACAGGGCCAAGGAGAUGGACACCCCCCUGAAGUCCCAGCCCACCCUGGAGGACUGAAGGAGAGGAGGAGAGGAAGGGAAGCAGUAGGGGAGGAGAAGGAGAGCAGGGGGUAAAGGAGAGAGGAGAGGAGAGUGUAGAGCAGGGAGUAAAAGUGAGUUAGUUAGUUAGUUGUCCCCUUAGGGAAAUUAUUUUUCAGUUUCCUUCAUUAAUUUCUCAUCAUCAUUUCUCGUCAUAGGCACAUUAAGAACAUACAUAAGACAUUUAUAGAGUUGACAUUGAUGACGGACAUACAUUGGGGUUCGGUACAGGGGGAUACAUACAUUGUUAAAUACAUUAUCUAUGGGGCUUUGCUUUGUUCAGGAAUGGGAUGGCGGAUGGGGGGGGUCAGGCUGAAACAGGCUUUGUUGCAUCUUCUCUCCGUUCUAGAUGGAGAUGAGGGAGUAAAGGAGAGAGGAGACGGAGAGGAGGGAGUGAAGAAGAGAGGAGACGGAGAGGAGGGAGUAAAGGAGAGAGGAGAGGGAGAGGAGGGAGUAAAGGAGAGAGGAGACAGAGAUGAGGGAGUAAAGGAGAGAGGAGAGGAGAGCAGGGAAUAUUGGAGAGAUGGGAAAAAAUAGGUUGUGUAGCAUCUUAUCCUAGCUUUGUUUUUUGUAUGCGGGAAUGGGUAAACCUAGCAAUUGUUAGUUAUUGGCACAUGGCUCUAUGAACAUCCUUACUGUACCGACAGCGAUACAUUGUUUCUCUUUCUUCUGACAAAUGCACUGAUUGUAAGCCGCUUUUGAUAAAAGUGUUUGAGCUCGCUGCCUUGAAUGUAAAUGUAAGGGGGGCUAUAAUUUCCCUCAACAAUGUCAAAUGCAUCUACUAUUAGUUGAAUUGUUCAACUCGUAAAGACCAUAACUUUUACAUUCAUGGCAAUAAAUAAAACAAGUUUGUUGAAAAUG